rnacentral:rRNA from 1 species
UGGGGAAUUUUGGACAAUGGGCGAAAGCCUGAUCCAGCAAUGCCGCGUGUGUGAAGAAGGCCUUCGGGUUGUAAAGCACUUUUGUCCGGAAAGAAAUCCUUGGCUCUAAUACAGUCGGGGGAUGACGGUACCGGAAGAAUAAGCACCGGCUAACUACGUGCCAGCAGCCGCGGUAAUACGUAGGGUGCAAGCGUUAAUCGGAAUUACUGGGCGUAAAGCGUGCGCAGGCGGUUUGCUAAGACCGAUGUGAAAUCCCCGGGCUCAACCUGGGAACUGCAUUGGUGACUGGCAGGCUAGAGUAUGGCAGAGGGGGGUAGAAUUCCACGUGUAGCAGUGAAAUGCGUAGAGAUGUGGAGGAAUACCGAUGGCGAAGGCAGCCCCCUGGGCCAAUACUGACGCUCAUGCACGAAAGCGUGGGGAGCAAACAGGAUUAGAUACCCUGGUAGUCCACGCCCUAAACGAUGUCAACUAGUUGUUGGGGACUUCAUUUCCUUAGUAACGUAGCUAACGCGUGAAGUUGACCGCCUGGGGAGUACGGUCGCAAGAUUAAAACUUAAAUGAAUUGACGGGGUCAUAGCUUU